rnacentral:lncRNA from 1 species
GGGAGAGUGCUUCAGUCGCGAUCCUGCAGGAGGGAGAAAAGUUGGCGGUGCCAGAGAUCGAGAGUGGUGCACUGGAUUCCAUGCAUGCGACAGAUGCCACAGUGGACGACACACAGCGAGCACCUCCUGCCAGUGAGGACAUUCACGAGAACGUGGAAGAGGAGCAAACAAAAGUCCAGGUGCCACAUGAAGUUUCCGAACGCGAGGUCGAGCUUGCUGUCCCGGUAAAAGAACUCCCAGAGUCGGGGAAUGAAGAAGUCCAGGACCCACAGCCUGUGCUUGAGGCCGUUCCCGAGCUUGAGGCCGUGCCUGAGGCUGCUGAAGAGGCUGUCAAGGAGGUGGAACCGGCCGAGCCAGUCGUAGCUCAAGUACCAACUACCACAGUGGAUGACGUUUUACCCACACACGAGGAAAUCAAGGAGGAAGAGAGCAUAGAGCCGGCCAAGGUGGCUGUGGAUGACCAGGUGGAGAAUGUCGAGCCCAGGGAGAGUGCUUCAGUCGCGAUCCUGCAGGAGGGAGAAAAGUUGGCAGUGCCAGAGAUCGAGAGUGGUGCACCGGAUUCCAUGCAUGCGACAGAUGCCACAGUGGACGACACACAGCGAGCACCUCCUGCCAGUGAGGACAUUCACGACAACGUGGAAGAGGAGCAAAGCAAAGUCGAGGUGCAGCAUGAAGUUUCCGAACGCGAGGUCGAGCUUGCUGUCCCAGUAGAAGAACUCCCACA